rnacentral:rRNA from 1 species
AGAGUUUGAUCCUGGCUCAGGACGAACGCUGGCGGCGUGCCUAAUACAUGCAAGUCGAGCGGACUUAAAAAGCUUGCUUUUUAAGUUAGCGGCGGACGGGUGAGUAACACGUGGGCAACCUGCCUGUAAGACUGGGAUAACUUCGGGAAACCGGAGCUAAUACCGGAUAAUCCUUUUCUACUCAUGUAGAAAAGCUGAAAGACGGUUUACGCUGUCACUUACAGAUGGGCCCGCGGUGCAUUAGCUAGUUGGUGAGGUAACGGCUCACCAAGGCAACGAUGCAUAGCCGACCUGAGAGGGUGAUCGGCCACACUGGGACUGAGACACGGCCCAGACUCCUACGGGAGGCAGCAGUAGGGAAUCUUCCGCAAUGGACGAAAGUCUGACGGAGCAACGCCGCGUGAGUGAUGAAGGCUUUCGGGUCGUAAAACUCUGUUGUUAGGGAAGAACAAGUACGAGAGUAACUGCUCGUACCUUGACGGUACCUAACCAGAAAGCCACGGCUAACUACGUGCCAGCAGCCGCGGUAAUACGUAGGUGGCAAGCGUUAUCCGGAAUUAUUGGGCGUAAAGCGCGCGCAGGCGGC